CCUACGGGAGGCAGCAGUGGGGAAUAUUGCACAAUGGGGGGAACCCUGAUGCAGCGACGCCGCGUGGGUGAAGAAGUAUUUCGGUAUGUAGAGCCCUAUCAGCAGGGAAGAAGAUGACGGUACCUGAGUAAGAAGCCCCGGCUAACUACGUGCCAGCAGCCGCGGUAAU
rnacentral:rRNA from 1 species